rnacentral:tRNA from 1 species
AUUUUUGUGGUGUAAUUUGCACGAAAGAUUUUCAAUUUUUAGGAAUAAUAAUUAUUAUAUAUAUUAUCAAAAGUA